rnacentral:rRNA from 1 species
GACGAACGCUGGCGGCGUGCCUAACACAUGCAAGUCGAGCGAAUGAAGUUCCUUCGGGAACGGAUUUAGCGGCGGACGGGUGAGUAACACGUGGGCAACCUGCCUCAUAGAGGGGAAUAGCCUUCCGAAAGGGAGAUUAAUACCGCAUAAGAUUGUAGUACCGCAUGGUACAGCAAUUAAAGGAGCAAUCCGCUAUGAUAUGGGCCCGCGGCGCAUUAGCUAGUCGGUGAGGUAACGGCUCACCAAGGCGACGAUGCGUAGCCGACCUGAGAGGGUGAUCGGCCACAUUGGACUGAGACACGGCCCAGACUCCUACGGGAGGCAGCAGUGGGGAAUAUUGCACAAUGGGGGAAACCCUGAUGCAGCAACGCCGCGUGAGUGAUGACGGCCUUCGGGUUGUAAAGCUCUGUCUUCAGGGACGAUAAUGACGGUACCUGAGGAGGAAGCCACGGCUAACUACGUGCCAGCCGCCGCCGUAAUAC